AACGAACGCUGGCGGCAUGCCUAACACAUGCAAGUCGAACGAGACCUUCGGGCUUAGUGGCGCACGGGUGCGUAACGCGUGGGAACCUGCCCUUAGGUUCGGAAUAACUCCCCGAAAGGGGUGCUAAUACCGGAUAAUGUCUUCGGACCAAAGAUUUAUCGCCUUUGGAUGGGCCCGCGUUGGAUUAGCUAGUUGGUAGGGUAAAAGCCUACCAAGGCGACGUUCCAUAGCUGGUCUGAGAGGAUGAUCAGCCACACUGGGACUGAGACACGGCCCAGACUCCUACGGAAGGCAGGAGUGGGGAAUAUUGGACAAUGGACGAAAGCCUGAUCCAGCAAUGCCGGGUAAGUGAUGAAGGCCUUAGGGUUGUGAAGCUCUUUUACCCGGGAUGAUAAUGACAGUACCGGGAGAAUAAGCUCCGGCUAACUCCGUG
rnacentral:rRNA from 1 species